GGGAUAGCUCAGUUGGUAGAACAGGGGACUGAAAAUCUUCGGUCACCUGUUCGAAUCUGGCUCCU
rnacentral:tRNA from 2 species